AACCCUGAAGGGCAGACAGGAGGGGACGGGGCGCUGCGGUUCCUCGGCCGGGAGGGAACCCUGUGUGUGUCUCGGGCUGUGUAUGCGUGUGUAUGUAGCGGGGAGCGAAGGAUCGCUCUCAAGCAGCGGCCCAAGAGUCAGCGCCUCCUCCUGAGAAACACCCGCGGGCGGAGAAGAAAGCGAGUGGGUAUGUUGAUGGGGGGCGGCCAAACUUCCUGUCCCGCUCUGGAGCUGCUUCCGGCGGGAGCCGGAAGACGCCGUGUGUGGACGGGAUUCGGGGCUGACUGACGGACGGACGGCUGCCCGAGACUGGAAGGUUAAAUUGAUUACCAACCUAGUUCAGCAUCUUACAGGAAAAGUGUAAUGCUUUUUAAAGGGAUAUGAAUAUAACAGGAAGGUGUCAUUGACUGAAUUAGACUUGAACCUGUCCCUGAUCAGCUACAGGAUUUCAGAAGCUGAAUCAAUGUUAUCAGAUGAGUUAGAAUCCAAACCAGAGCUCCUGGUUCAGUUUGUUCAGAAUACCUCCAUCCCCCUGGGACAAGGGCUAGUAGAAUCAGAAGCUAAAGACAUUACUUGCUUAUCCCUCCUUCCAGUGACCGAGGCCUCAGAAUGCAGCCGACUAAUGUUACCAGAUGAAACUCCAAAUCAUGCUAAUUCCUCCAAGGAGGUCCCUUCUUCAGCUGUUUUGAGGAGCCUUCAGGUGAAUGUGGGCCCAGACGGAGAAGAGACAAGGGCUCAGACUGUACAGAAGUCCCCAGAGUUCCUGACCACACCAGAGUCGCCUAGCUUGUUGCAAGAUCUACAGCCAAGUGAUAGCACUUCCUUCAUUCUUCUGAACCUAACGAGAGCAGGGCUGGGCUCUUCAGCUGAGCACUUUGUGUUUGUUCAGGAUGAGACAGAGGACUCAGGGGCUGACUUCCUCUCUGCUGAGAGCACAGACAGCAGUAUCCCAUGGUUCCUCCGGGUUCAGGAACUGGCCCAUGACAGUCUGAUUGCGGCUACUCGUGCACAGCUGGCCAAGAAUGCAAAAACUGGCAGCAAUGGAGAAAAUGUCCACCUUGGCUCUGGUGAUGGGCAACCAAAAGACUCUGGUCCCCUUCCUCAAGCGGAGAAGAAGCUCAAGUGCACAGUUGAAGGCUGUGACCGGACAUUUGUGUGGCCAGCUCACUUCAAGUACCACCUUAAAACUCACCGAAAUGAGCGCUCCUUCAUCUGCCCUGCAGAAGGUUGUGGGAAAAGCUUUUAUGUGCUGCAGAGGCUGAAGGUGCACAUGAGGACACACAAUGGGGAGAAACCCUUUAUGUGCCACGAGUCUGGGUGUGGUAAGCAGUUCACUACAGCUGGGAACCUGAAGAACCACCGGCGCAUCCACACAGGAGAGAAGCCUUUUCUCUGUGAAGCCCAGGGAUGUGGCCGUUCCUUUGCUGAGUAUUCAAGCCUCCGGAAACAUCUGGUAGUUCACUCAGGUGAGAAGCCUCAUCAGUGCCAGGUCUGUGGGAAGACCUUCUCUCAGAGUGGGAGUAGGAAUGUGCAUAUGAGAAAGCAUCACUUGCAGCUGGGGACAACUGGGAGUCAAGAACAGGAUCAAACCGCCGAGCCACUAAUGGGCAGUAGUUUGCUUGAAGACGCUUCAGUUCCCAAUAAAAACCUGGUGUCUAUGAAUUCCCAGUCCAGCCUUGGUGGAGAGUCCUUGAAUCUAUCAAAUACCAAUUCUAUCCUUGGAGUUGAUGAUGUUAUGGAAGAGCUUAACUUUUAAAACAUUUAAACAGAGCAUAACCAGGUUUUACAGAGGAGAUACAAAGCAAUUUCUCCAUACCUUCAAAAGCCAUGUCUUCUGGAGAACAGAAAGGGCUCUCUAGGAAACAGUUGCUCCUCUGGUAUAGAAAUUUCACCCAGCUUACACAGGCCAGGCCCUCUUCUCUGAAAAUCUUACCAGAGGUGCUUACUGAAAGAGCCUCACGGCCCCUGUCUUCUGUGCCUGAUGUGACACAUCACUUGGUGACCAUGCAGUCAGGGAGGCAGUCCUAUGAAGUUUCUGUCUUAACUGCGGUAAAUCCGCAGGAGUUACUAAACCAAGGAGAUUUAACUGAAAGACAGACAUGAGUGUGCUGACUCCUGGAGAUGCUGUUGUCUGAUCCCAGAGUGCAUGAUGGGAACAGAUCCAAAGGCUCAUAAUCUGCCAGAACUAAAAGGAGUCUGAAGGACCAAGACCUUGCCUUGCCUCUGUUGUCUGAGGGCUCUCUUCAACCUCCACCGAUGCAGUCCAAGAGUGAAGCAGUGGCCGUGGGCUGGAUACCUGUGCCGCCUCUCUCCUCAGCGCAGCGUUUGGGAGUAGACUUGCCAAGAGCAGGUUUAAUUAUGUGUUGGCUGAAGAUUUUCAUUGUGACUGUCAAGGUUUUCCUUUGAAGAGUUUUCACCCUAGGCCCAGCUAUCUUUCCAUAUGGUUGAAUUAUGUCCUGCUUCCAACCAGAACACUGAGUUUUCAAGAUGCCUUGUUGCUUUGAAGAAGGGAGGGGUGCCAAUUACACUGUAGCAUUGCACUCUCCCUUUAGCAACCUGAGUAAGACUUAGCCUUUGGGCUGUAAAAAUUAAAUUACUUGAAUCUCUCCUUGGCCCAGGCUGAGGUACCAACUUACCCUGUACACUUUGACUUGGUCAUUUUUUUGUUUUGUUUAUGGGACUUAAAAUAGCAUGUUAUCAGGGGGUUUUAUUUGUUGUUGUUGUUUUUUUUUAAGUUAAAAACCACAUGAUCUAGAGUUUGUUUUCCUUUUAAAUAAACAAAACAACCUAGUCACCUCUUUGGCUCUUGUUUUAGAUUGGUGAUUCUUAACCUUCUCAAUGCUGCCACCCUUUAAUGCAGUUUCUCAUGUUGUGGUGACCCCCAACCAUAAGAUGAUUUUCAUUGCUACUUCAUAACUGUAAUUUUGCUACUGUUACAAAUCAUAAUGUAAAUAUCUGAUAUAUAGGAUAUCUGAUAUGUGAUAGGUUGAGAACCGCUGUUUUAGACAGAUGUGGGGCAUUUUUGUUGUUGGUUUGGUUUGGGUUUUUUUCAAGACAAAGUUUCUUUGUGUAGCUUUGGCUGUCCUGGAACUCAUUCUGUAUUCCAGGCUGGCCUUGAACUCUGCCUCCUGAGUGCUGGAACAAAAGGCGUACACACACCACCACUUCUUCGUAACAGAUGUGUUCUUAGAGGUCAAGAAGUUUAUCCAGUCUUUCUCUUUUAAGAUAGAAUAUUAAAUAGAGAAAGGAGGCUAAGGAUAGGAUAGUAGCUUAUGCCUCUAGUCCCAGGACUCAGGGGCUGAGGCAGGCAGAUCACAGGACUAUGAGACCCGCCUUGACACAUAACAAGUUCUACACAGCAAGACACUGUGUUAAAAAAAUUAAGGGAGACCCUGAUGAGCCAGGUCCCCCAGCAUGCAGGGAACAAACAAAUUUCUUGGAUUUGAUGCCAGCCUGAUGUAUAUAGGAAGUUCUAGAUCAACAAGGGCUAUACAUUAAGAAUUUGUCUC